rnacentral:rRNA from 1 species
UACGUAGGGGGCGAGCGUUGUCCGGAUUUAUUGGGCGUAAAGAGCUCGUAGGCGGCUUGGCAAGUCGGGUGUGAAACCUCCAGGCUCAACCUGGAGACGCCACUCGAUACUGCCAUGGCUAGAGUCCGGUAGGGGACCACGGAAUUCCUGGUGUAGCGGUGAAAUGCGCAGAUAUCAGGAGGAACACCGAUGGCGAAGGCAGUGUUCUGGGCCAGUACUGACGCUGAGGAGCGAAAGCGUGGGUAGCAAACAGG